rnacentral:lncRNA from 1 species
ACAAUCAUGCUUUCUGCAAUUAACUAAUGAGCAAAAUGUUUUAACUGAACUUAAAAAGAUAGAAUCCAGGACUUUGUAACCGAAAAAAAACAUUCAUUCUGCAUAAUAGAUUACUAAUCUGGAACCUGUAUUCAAAUCACGACAUGUAUAACGAAACUAAGCUCACAUUACAUUUUAUCAACAACUCACAGAUGGUUCAUCAAAUGGAAAUCAAACCCA